AUGACUAAACUUACUGAAUUUUAUAGACAAAGGGCAAAAAAGCAUUGGGCAACAAAAGGGGACAGGAAUACUUCUUACUUUCAUCAGGCUGUUCUGAAAAGAAGAAGGAAAAAUCAAAUUGUUUCCAUUAGAGACCAUAACAAUAUGACUCAUUUUAAACCUGAAAAUAUUGCAAACACUUUUGUCCAAUACUUUAAGAAGAUUUGUAGGCCAUACAUAAGGACAGAGAUGAGUACAGACCAGCAGGACCAUACAAAUAGCAUUCCAGAUAUGCACGAAGUUUGGCAAAUUCUUAAAGAAAUGAAGAUAAAUGCUUCUCCAGGACCUGAUGGAUUGAAUGUUGCCUUCUUCAUAGCAGCAUGGGAUUGGAUUGGAGAUGAUGUGGUCAAUCUGGUGAGAAGUUUCUAUGAAAUAGGUAUAAUGCCAAGUUAUAUCAAUAAAACUAAUAUUGUCCUUAUUCCAAAGAAAAUGGUUUGCAUUACUCCUGCUGAUUUUAGACCCAUCAGCCUAUGUAACGUGGUAUAUAAAAUCAUUGCCAAAUCAUUAGCUCAAAGGAUCAAGACUCAUCUUCCUGAUUAUAUUCACCCCUCUCAACAAGCUUUCAUCCAAGGGAGGAGGAUUAGUAAUAAUAUUAUUAUAGCUCAAGAAAUUACUCACUCUUUUAAUCUGAGCUCUUGGAAUGCUCCUUCGUUCAUGGUUAAAAUUGAUCUUGCCAAGGCUUUUGAUCGACUAUAA
rnacentral:rRNA from 1 species